CAUCAAUCACCUGCUUCUGGGGAACUCGCCAUGAGGUUCUUGUGGGGAACACACACUGCUUUUUCUACUUAGCUGGUUCUGCAUCGAGCUUCAAAACCAAGCUCAAGGAAGCUUUCCUGAACUGUCCAACUGGCCCUCAAAAGCAGUGCGAGGCUCUGGUCUGAUGUGCUUCCAAGGGCUCUGCUCACCUUUUACACGUUCAUUGCCCUGACUGCCCUGCCCACGUGUCUGCAGCCCCGUGUCUAGACACUGAAUUCUUCAAGAACUGGAACCUCCUCCUUAAUUGCUCUACCCAUAGUCUUGGCAAUGCCUGGCUUAUCGUAGAUGCUCAGUAAUUAUUCACUUAACUACUUAACCAUGGUAUAGAAAAUGUGACGAGAAAUUUUUUUAAAACCAGAUGCCAAAACAAAACACUUAAAGUCAUUAUUCAUUUAUUUUUGGUUGUAAAAAAGCAUGUAUAUUUAUAUAGCAUACUGAAGAAUAUAGAAACCUUGAUGAGGCUGCUCAAGUUUUAGUUUCCCUCAGGAAUCUAAAGUAUCAAAAGACUGGUUUUAAAAAAAAAAAAGAUUGUGUAUUAGGUAUGGUAGUUGACUCCUGUUGAACAAAAGGGGCAUGGUAAAAAUCGAAAGGACUUGUAAUAAGACCAAUGGGAUUUAGGUAAAACCAUCUCAGUGAGAAAUUACUGCUUUGUUUCUUUCGAUUCUUACAAGAUAAAGAUGUAAAUGGAAAAGGUAGUCUUAAAGGGAAGCUGGAAGAGACAGGAGACUGGUCUGGCCUCUAACGACAGAGAAUUAUCUGUGUCAUCACACAGAAAUAGCAGAGCAGAGCCUGGACCACCGACCAAGAAAGGCAGGGUCUGUUACAUGACAACUAUGAAAAAAAAGAGGGAGGAAAAAGGAAGGCUUUACAAAAUAGAAGGUAAGAUUACACUGCUUAUAUAGUUUGCAUUCUAUUUCUAUGGCAAUAGGUUAGCAAAGCAGGUUGUUGCUAAGGGAGACAACAAUUUCAUUUUGAAGCAAUGCUGGGAAUAUUUCUAGAAUCAUCCCUUUAUUGUGGCCUGCCCAAAACAAUCUACACUGGUGCUGGGAAGAGAACUGGUGUAGGAAGACAGUAUUGACAAGGCCAAACAACAAACUGGUGACUCAGUCCUUGUACUGUAAAGAACCUACACUGAAACAAACAAUCACUUUAUAAAAAGCUAUGCACUUCCUUCUGCUGGGACUUAAUUACAUUAGGAGGUUUACAGCCCAAAAGGAGACACAACACUUGUUCUCAGCUUCAAUCCUUCAAAGCCUUCUGACUGAAUUUCUUCUGCUUGGGUGCCUGACACCAUGUGAGCUGUUGUGAUUAAACAGGGAAUAAAGCCACGGUCCUAUCUUGGGAAGUUAACAGUCCAACAGAAGCUACUGAAUUACAAUGCCAGGAGAAGAGCUCAGGCAGGGGAGUGGGCGAAUAUGCUAAGAGAGCAGAGAAAAAUGAGAAGGGGAGUUGAGAAAUUAUUCAAAGAGAAAAUGACAAGCUGGAUCUCAAAAAAUAAGGCUUCGGUCACCAAGUGCGACAAAGCAGAAAAGCUCGUGGGGUUGGGCGUCUGCACGUCAGGCUUUGAGGUAGGAAAACCUUGGCCAUCUGGAAAGGAGUUUGCCAUUGCGGGACCACAGAGUCAAAAGGAAAGGCUUUCCUGGAAGUCCAUUAUAAGGAAGAAAAAAUUCCCAAGCCUGAUUGGAGAAAUAAUAUACUCUAAUGAAGAUUAAAUAGCAUAAUGAGUUAGAGACAAAAGCAAGUUUAACCAAAAGGAAGAAAAAGUGAAAGACCUAAAAAAAAAAUCUAGUUUUAAAGACAAGCUUUAAGAUCCGGGAGACAGACUUGCCUCAGCCAUUCAUGUAAAACUUUUCAAUAUGAAUAUCUGUAAGCAGAAUAUAAAACUUACGGUGGGAUGGGAACACAGUGUCACUGUUAGGAGCUUGGAUUCUGAAGUCAUGUGUGCCUGGAUUGAAUGUCAGAUUUUUAUGCUUAUUGACUAUAUGAUUUUAGGCUAAACUCUCCAAUACUCUAUUUGUACUACUCUUUUCAAUGAAGAUAUUGAUACUACUCAUCUAAUAGGGUUUCUUUGAAGAUUAAAAUAAAUAUUAGUUCUGGGGUAAGCAUUUCAUAAAUCUUAGUUACAGUCAUCAUAGAAACAAAUCAAUAGCCUUGAGAAUUCAAUUGUAAGUAGAAAACUCUUUCUUAUUUCCAAAUUUUUCUUUUUGGCCAUAUGUCUUAUGAUAAUAAAGAUAAAACUUUAGCCAAGAAUUACAGAUUCAACAAAUUCACUUUUUUUUACACCAAGAUAAAAAUGAAUGACUAUAUAUUGUAUCUAGCAUAUCAGUCAUUUACUUUGGUGUCAAAUAGUAAUAUUUUUUUUUCAGAAACAGGGUCUCGCUCUGUCACCCAGGCUGGGGUGCCAUGGUGCAGUCACAGCUCACAACAGCCUCCACUGAAUAAGAACAACCCCCAGCAAAAUUCUGAGUCCAAACUGGCUUUCAAUUAUACUUUGACUUCUAAAUUGCCACUCACUUUUCUAGCUCCCCACAGUCAAUCAUAGUGUUUUAAAGAAAUAUUAAGUAUUAAUAGAGAAACAUACCUAGGGAGGUUAAUGCAAACAUACAAUACAGACCACGGAUUUUUGGAUUAUUGUUUGUAUUAGCAUAGAACAGAACAUUGGCUCUAAACUCAGGCUUGCCCCCACCAGAAUAGCCAAUAUAAUUAGUCUGGCAUGGGGCCCAGAUAC